rnacentral:rRNA from 1 species
ACUGCUCAGUAACACGUAGCUAACCUACCCUUAAGUCAGAGAUAACCUCGGGAAACUGAGGGUAAGAUCUGAUAAGAGACAUACCCUGGAAUGAUUUGUCUCCUAAACUCGUGCUUAAGGAUGGGGCUGCGGCGGAUUAGGUUGUUGGCGGGGUAAUAGCCCACCAAGCCGAAGAUCCGUAAGGGCUCUUAGCGGAGAGGCCCUGAGAGGGAAUCUGAGACACUAUUCCCAGCCCUACGGGGUGCAGCAGUUAGGCAUAAUCUACAAUGCGCGCAAGCGUGAUAGUUUGAGCCAGAGUGCUUUACAAUCGUAAAGCUUUUGUGAAAUCUAAAAAUUUUCACGAAUAAGGACUGGGUAAGACGAGUGCCAGCCGCCGCGGUAAUACUCGCGGUCCAAGUCGCAGCCAUUUUUAUUGGGUCUAAAACAUCCGUAGCUUGCUUGAUAAGUUUCUUGUGAAAUCCUAUAUCUUAAGUAUGGGGCGUGCAAGAAGUACUGUCAAGCUAGAGACUGGAAGACGUAAUCAGUACGUUCGGAGUAGCGGUAAAAUGUGUUAAUCCCGGACGGACUCACGAGAGCGAAGGCAGAUUACGAGGACAGUUCUGACAGUAAGGGAUGAAAGCUAGGGGCGCAAAACGGAUUAGAUACCCGUGUAGUCCUAGCAGUAAACACUGCACACUAAACAUCGGUACCUCCUCGAGAGGUGUCGGUGCUGCAGGGAAGCCGAAGAGUGUGCUACCUGGGAAGUAUAGUCGCAAGGCCGAAACUUAAAGGAAUUGGCGGGGGAGCAC